rnacentral:rRNA from 1 species
UUGGCCUAACAUGGCUAUGACGGGUAACGGGGAAUUAGAGUUCGAUUCCGGAGAGGGAGCCUGAGAAAUAGCUACCACAUCUAAGGAAGGCAGCAGGCGCGUAAAUUACCCAAUUCUAAAGAAGAGAGGUAGUGACAAGAAAUAACAAUGCAAGGCCAAAUUUUGGUUUUGCAAUUGGAAUGAUGGGAAUUUAAAACCUUCCCAGAAGGCAAUUGGAGGGCAAGUCUGGUGCCAGCAGCCGCGGUAAUUCCAGCUCCAAUAGCGUAUAUUAAAAUUGUUGCAGUUAAAACGCUCGUAGUUGAAUUUCAAGGAAUCAAUAUUUUAAGCAAUGCUUUGUAUAUUUAUAACAAAGUUGUACAUUAAGAAUAAACGCCAAGCGUUAUAUUCUUUCUGUUACAUUUUGUUUUAUUAAUAUAUAUAUGCGUUCUUAUUAUAAAAAUGAUUCUUUUUAAAAUUCUCUUGUAUAAUUUUUUAUGCAUGGGAAUUUUGUUACUUUGAGU